rnacentral:rRNA from 1 species
UACGGGGGGGGCAAGCGUUGUUCGGAAUUACUGGGCGUAAAGGGCUCGUAGGCGGCCAACUAAGUCAGACGUGAAAUCCCUCGGCUUAACCGGGGAACUGCGUCUGAUACUGGAUGGCUUGAGGUUGGGAGAGGGAUGCGGAAUUCCAGGUGUAGCGGUGAAAUGCGUAGAGAUCCGGAGGAACACCAAAGGCGAAGGCAGUGUCCUGGGGAGUACCUGACGCUCAGGUGCGAAAGCCAGGGGAGCGAACGGG